AAAGGCGCAAUGAAAGUGAAGGUCCGCCUUGCGCGGACCGAGGGAGGAUGGGUGGUCCCGAGGGGCCGCCUCGCACUCCCGGGGCGUCUCGUUCUCAUCGCGAGAAGAGGCGCACCCAGAGCGUACACGCUGGGACCCGAAAGAUGGUGAACUAUGCCUGGUCAGGACGAAGUCAGGGGAAACCCUGAUGGAGGUCCGUAGCGAUUCUGACGUGCAAAUCGAUCGUCGGAACUGGGUAUAGGGGCGAAAGACUAAUCGAACCAUCUAGUAGCUGGUUCCCUCCGAAGUUUCCCUCAGGAUAGCUGGCGCUCGCUUCUGGCGAGUCUCAUUCGGUAAAGCGAAUGAUUAGAGGCAUUGGGGUCGAAACGGCCUCAACCUAUUCUCAAACUUUAAAUGGGUGAGAUCUCCGGCUUGCUUGAACUGUGAAGCCGCGAGAUAUCGGAUCAGAGUGCCAAGUGGGCCACUUUUGGUAAGCAGAACUGGCGCUGUGGGAUGAACCAAACGCUGAGUUAAAGCGCCUAAAUCGACGCUUAUUGGG
rnacentral:rRNA from 1 species